AACAUCGCGCACCUGCGGGAACCUGCGGAAGGAUCAUUAAUGUUUGGUGGCUGUUGCUGACUAGUGUUUCUAGUAUGUGCACGCCACACCUUCAAUCCCACUUACACCUGUGCACCUUCUGUAAUAGAUCUAUGUGGAUACGGAGAUAUGAAAGUUUGCGCUCUCGUACUCUGUUGAAGCAGUCUACUACGUUUUUUUACACACACACAAUAGUCAUUGAAUGUAUUUUUUAUUCUUAUG
rnacentral:misc_RNA from 1 species